GACGAACGCUGGCGGCGUGCUUAACACAUGCAAGUCGAACGAUGAAGCUGGAGCUUGCUCCGGUGGAUUAGUGGCGAACGGGUGAGUAACACGUGAGCAAUCUGCCCUUGACUCUGGGAUAACUGCGGGAAACUGUAGCUAAUACCGGAUACGAGGCUUGGAGGCAUCUCCAGGUCUGGAAAGAAUUUCGGUCAAGGAUGAGCUCGCGGCCUAUCAGCUAGUUGGUGAGGUAAUGGCUCACCAAGGCGACGACGGGUAGCCGGCCUGAGAGGGUGACCGGCCACACUGGGACUGGGACACGGCCCGGACUCCUACGGGAGGCAGCAGUGGGGAAUAUUGCACAAUGGGCGAAAGCCUGAUGCAGCAACGCCGCGUGAGGGAUGAAGGCCUUCGGGUUGUAAACCUCUUUUAGUAGGGAAGAAGCGAAAGUGACGGUACCUACAGAAAAAGCACCGGCUAACUACGUGCCAGCCGCCGCUGUAA
rnacentral:rRNA from 1 species